AGUGAACGCUGGCGGUAGGCCUAACACAUGCAAGUCGAACGGCAGCACAGUAAGAGCUUGCUCUUACGGGUGGCGAGUGGCGGACGGGUGAGGAAUACAUCGGAAUCUACUUUUUCGUGGGGGAUAACGUAGGGAAACUUACGCUAAUACCGCAUACGACCUACGGGUGAAAGCAGGGGAUCUUCGGACCUUGCGCGAUUGAAUGAGCCGAUGUCGGAUUAGCUAGUUGGCGGGGUAAAGGCCCACCAAGGCGACGAUCCGUAGCUGGUCUGAGAGGAUGAUCAGCGACACUGGAACUGAGACACGGUCCAGACUCCUACGGGAGGCAGCAGUGGGGAAUAUUGGACAAUGGGCGCAAGCCUGAUCCAGCCAUACCGAGUGGGUGAAGAAGGCCUUCGGGUUGUAAAGCCCUUUUGUUGGGAAAGAAAAGCAGCAGGUUAAUACCCCGCUGUUCUGACGGUACCCAAAGAAUAAGCACCGGCUAACUUCGUG
rnacentral:rRNA from 1 species